rnacentral:lncRNA from 10 species
AGUAAAUUUUUUAUUUUUAUUUUUAUUUUUUUCUAUGUAGUAAACAUUUUGGGCUUUGUGGGCCACACACUUUAAUAUCUCCCAUUACUAGUAAACUGACAUUUUGUGUGAUUUUUUUUUUUUUUGAGGGGGUACGGGGUUGUUAAAGAACCUUGUUUUGUCAUAUUACCAGAGUUGGUUUUCUGGCUUUUUCUAAUUUGGGUCGGCUUCAUCAACCCUAGAGCAGCUUCAGUUCUAGGACUGGAGGCAAUUGUUCAC